rnacentral:rRNA from 1 species
ACGUAGGGUGCGAGCGUUAAUCGGAAUUACUGGGCGUAAAGCGUGCGCAGGCGGUUCGCUAAGACAGGUGUGAAAUCCCCGGGCUUAACCUGGGAAUGGCGCUUGUGACUGGCGGGCUGGAGUACGGCAGAGGGGGGGUGGAAUUCCACGUGUGGCGGUGAAAUGCGUAGAGAUGUGGAGGAGCGCCGAUGGCGAGUGCAGCCCCCUGGGCCGAUACUGACGCUCAUGCACGAAGGCUUCGGGGGCAAACUU